rnacentral:snoRNA from 1 species
UGCAAGUGAUGUGAAGAAUAUUUGCUAUCUGAGUAGCCGUGCUGACAUCCCACCAAGAUCACUGAUGCA